rnacentral:rRNA from 1 species
UACGAAGGGGCUAGCGUUGCUCGGAAUCACUGGGCGUAAAGGGUGCGUAGGCGGGUCUUUAAGUCAGGGGUGAAAUCCUGGAGCUCAACUCCAGAACUGCCUUUGAUACUGAAGAUCUUGAGUCCGGGGAGAGGUGAGUGGAACUGCGAGUGUAGAGGUGAAAUCGUAGAUAUUCGCAAGAACACCAGUGGCGAAGGCGGCUCACUGGCCCGUAU